rnacentral:rRNA from 1 species
CGUCUAGGCGGACUGGCAAGUCAGGUGUGAAAUCCCCCGGCUCAACCGGGGAAUUGCACUUGAAACUGCCGAUCUUGAGUACGGGAGAGGAAAGCGGAAUUCCUGGUGUAGCGGUGAAAUGCGUAGAUAUCAGGAAGAACAUCGGUGGCGAAGGCGGCUUUCUGGACCGAUACUGACGCUAAAGCGCGAAAGUGUGGGGAGCAAAUA